rnacentral:rRNA from 1 species
AUUGAACGCUGGCGGCAGGCCUAACACAUGCAAGUCGAGCGGUAGCACAGGGAGCUUGCUCUCGGGUGACGAGCGGCGGACGGGUGAGUAAUGUCUGGGAAACUGCCUGAUGGAGGGGGAUAACUACUGGAAACGGUAGCUAAUACCGCAUAACGUCGCAAGACCAAAGAGGGGGACCUUCGGGCCUCUUGCCAUCAGAUGUGCCCAGAUGGGAUUAGCUAGUAGGUGGGGUAACGGCUCACCUAGGCGACGAUCCCUAGCUGGUCUGAGAGGAUGACCAGCCACACUGGAACUGAGACACGGUCCAGACUCCUACGGGAGGCAGCAGUGGGGAAUAUUGCACAAUGGGCGCAAGCCUGAUGCAGCCAUGCCGCGUGUAUGAAGAAGGCCUUCGGGUUGUAAAGUACUUUCAGCGAGGAGGAAGGUGUUGAGGUUAAUAACCUCAGCAAUUGACGUUACUCGCAGAAGAAGCACCGGCUAACUCCGUGCCAGCCGCCGCGGUAAGAC